rnacentral:rRNA from 1 species
GACGAACGCUGGCGGCGUGCUUAACACAUGCAAGUCGAACGGAAAGGCCUUUUCGGAGGUACUCGAGUGGCGAACGGGUGAGUAACACGUGGGUGAUCUGCCCUGCACUCUGGGAUAAGCCUGGGAAACUGGGUCUAAUACCGGAUAGGACCGCACUUUAGUGUGUGUGGUGGAAAGUUUUUUCGGUGUAGGAUGAGCCCGCGGCCUAUCAGCUUGUUGGUGGGGUAAUGGCCUACCAAGGCGGCGACGGGUAGCCGGACUGAGAGGUUGGUCGGCCACAUUGGGACUGAGAUACGGACCAGACGCCAACGGGAGGCAGCAGUGGGGAAUAUUACACAAUGGGCGCGAGCCUGAGGCAGCGGCGCCGCGUGGGGGAUGACGGCCUUCGGGUUGUGAACGCCUUUCGCCAGGGACGAAGCGUUUUGUGACGGUACCUGGAGAAGAAGCACCGGCUAACUACGUG